AUUGAACGCUGGCGGCAGGCUUAACACAUGCAAGUCGCACGAGUGGCGGACGGGUGAGUAAUGCUUGGGACUCUAGCUUAUGGAGGGGGAUAACUACGGGAACCUGUAGCUAAUACCGCGUACCAUAGGAGGAGCCCCAGUGGGAUUAGGUAGUUGGUGAGGUAAAGGCCCACCAAGCAGACGAUCUCUAGCUGGUCUGAGAGGAUGACCAGCCACCCGGGUACUGGGACACGGCCCAGACUCCUACGGGAGGAAGCAGUGGGGAAUAUUGCGCAAUGGGGGCAACCUGACGCAGCCAUGCCGCGUGAAUGAAGAAGGCCUUCGGGUUGUAAAGGUCGUUCGGUAGCGAGGCGUUAACUACAGAAGAAGCACCGGCUAACUCCGUGCCAGCAGCCGCGGUAAUUC
rnacentral:rRNA from 1 species